AAGGCCUUAGCUUAAUUAAAGUGUCUGUUUUGCAUGCAGAAGAUGUGGGUUAAUGUCCUGCAGGUCUUA
rnacentral:tRNA from 1 species